rnacentral:rRNA from 1 species
GAUGAAUGCUGGCGGCGUGCCUAACACAUGCAAGUCGAGCGGUAACAGGUCUAGUUUACUAGAUGCUGACGAGCGGCGGACGGCUGAGUAACGCGUAGGAACGUGCCCCAAAGUGAGGAAUAACUGUCCGAAAGGGUGGCUAAUGCCGCAUAUGAUCUUCGGAUUAAAGUCUUCGGACGCUUUGGGAGCGGCCUGCGUUA